AGCAGCAGCAGCAGCAACAGCAUCACACAUACAUACACACGCGGGCAUUUUUUCGGGCCUCUCUUGGCGCGCGUGUCUGUGUGUAUGUUGCAGUUGCAUAGUUUUUGCUUCU
rnacentral:pre_miRNA from 1 species